rnacentral:rRNA from 1 species
UGGCGAACGGGUGAGUAACGCGUGAGGAACCUGCCUCAAAGAGGGGGACAACAGUUGGAAACGACUGCUAAUACCGCAUAAGCCCACGGCCCGGCAUCGGGUAGAGGGAAAAGGAGCAAUCCGCUUUGAGAUGGCCUCGCGUCCGAUUAGCUAGUUGGUGAGGUAACGGCCCACCAAGGCGACGAUCGGUAGCCGGACUGAGAGGUUGAACGGCCACAUUGGGACUGAGACACGGCCCAG